CACGUAGGGUGCGAGCGUUGUCCGGAAUUAUUGGGCGUAAAGAGCUCGUAGGCGGUGUGUCGCGUCGGCCGUGAAAACCUGCAGCUUAACUGUGGGCUUGCGGUCGAUACGGGCAUCACUGGAGUUCGGCAGGGGAGACUGGAAUUCCUAGUGUAGCGGUGAAAUGCGCAGAUAUCAGGAGGAACACCGGUGGCGAAGGCGGGUCUCUGGGCCGAUACUGACGCUGAGGAGCGAAAGCGUGGGGAGCGAACAGG
rnacentral:rRNA from 1 species